CAUGGCAGCUUUAAGACUUAUAUGGCUUGGCAUUUUAUCAAAAUACAUCCUUGUUGAAUGUCAAAACAAAUGCGAAGAUACAGAGAUGUACCCUGCAAAGCCCUCUGGACCAUCUAAUGUGACUGAAGGGACCACAAUACAUUUCAAGUGUCAAACUAAUAGCAUCACUAUAAGCGGGGACAUGGUUCAUUUUUACCUUUGCAAGGAUGGAGUUGGGAUACAAAUGGCACCAAUGAAGAAAGGUGCUGAAUCUAUUUUCUUGUUAAAAGAAGUAAAAAAACAAGACUCGGGCAAGUACAGCUGUGUGUACAGCAAAUGUAAACACCCAGUCAGUCAAGUGAAGUCAACAGGGGAUUAUCUGGUCUUAUGGGUCAACAGAGACGAAGAUGUGGAAG
ensembl:lncRNA